UGUAGGUCCAUCCAUGUGGUUGUGAAUGAAAACUUUGUAUUGUCAAGAGCUCUGUUAUAAGACUCAACCCAAGAUUCUUUUAAAAAUGUCAAAGUCACACUUAGCUCCUUGAAAACUGGAGUCCCUAACAAAGGACUCGCUAGUGAUUGCUUGCAGCAGAGGAAAUGAUAAUUAUGAUAAAAC